rnacentral:rRNA from 1 species
UACAGAGGUCUCAAGCGUUGUUCGGAUUUAUUGGGCGUAAAGGGCGCGUAGGCGGCGGGGUAAGUCGGGUGUGAAAUCUCAGGGCUCAACCCUGAAACUGCACUUGAUACUGCUUUGCUUGAGGACUGGAGAGGAGACUGGAAUUCACGGUGUAGCAGUGAAAUGCGUAGAUAUCGUGAGGAAGACCAGUGGCGAAGGCGGGUCUCUGGACAGUUCCUGACGCUGAGGCGCGAAGGCCAGGGGAGCAAACGGG